rnacentral:rRNA from 1 species
CAGUCGCCGCGGUAAUACGUAGGGUGCGAGCGUUAAUCGGAAUUACUGGGCGUAAAACGUGCGCAGGCGGUUGUGUAAGACAGGUGUGAAAUCCCCGGGCUUAACCUGGGAACUGCGCUUGUGACCGCACAGCUAGAGUAUGGCAGAGGGGGGUGGAAUUCCACGUGUAGCAGUGAAAUGCGUAGAGAUGUGGAGGAACACCGAUGGCGAAGGCAGCCCCCUGGGCCAAUACUGACGCUCAUGCACGAAAGCGUGGGGAGCAAACAGGAUUAGAUACCCGCGUAGUCCCUGUCUCUUAUAC